GCCUGGGUGGCUCAGUCGGUUGAGUGUCUGACUUCGGCUCAGGUCAUGAUCUCACUGUUCGUGAGUUCGAGCCCCGCAUCGGGCU
rnacentral:tRNA from 1 species